rnacentral:lncRNA from 1 species
CUCGAUAACUCCGGUACUAAACUGGGCAACAACAGAUAAUCGCAGCUAAGCCUCCGGGAUCCCUGUAUAUGCACAUAAGGUGUAAGGAAUAGAGUGAGUGCUCUAACUCAGUGAGUAAUAGCAAUAAAUAACGAGUGAAAAUAAGAAAUCAUGUAGGAACACUACACAGUUCUAAAAUCAGCAGUGAAGGCAUUUAAUAUGAGCUAAACAGGGAAAAAACUGAUAAAACUCCUCUAUUCCGUCCGACAAUUUACUAACACUGCUGCGGCACGCAGCCCGAUCCAAUAUAAUGUAUGUAAUACUGGGGCGCGCAGCCUGAUCCAAUAAAUAUAGUCGACUAUGCUCACUGGGGGGUGUGUGCAGACUUCGGAGGGGCUCCUUCAGCCCAAGCGCUAAAAUAUUGCGGAGUGCAGUCCGGUCCGUAUAAUAUAUCACCGCAGCGUGCAGUACGAUCCAUAUAAUAUAUUAUUGUGGCGUGCAGUCCGAUCCAUAUAUAAUAUAAUACUGGGUCGUGCAAUCCGAUCAUAUAUAUAUAUAUAUGUGUGUGUGUGUGUGUGUGUGUGUGUGUGUAUACUGUUGCGGCCUGCAAUCCGAUCCGGUAUAUAUCAAAUACUAUCACUCUGGGGUCCUUGACCGCUCUCAAUCAAUAUAGACAUGGCCUCUCCGGCCCACUCAGCUAAGACAGGGUAUUCAACCCUAGGUAUUUCUCAUUUAGGGAGCAAAUUACUAAGUUCGGUUUAUUUCAUGAUCCACACUUAGGGACAGGACUGAGAGUAUGAGUCCAAUAGGUAAAAAUGAGGUCAAUCAGUUCAACAUGCUCCCUAAGGGCUCCACGGAUCGACACAAGGCCCCAAACGUGGCAACUAGCCCAAAAUAUAUAGAUAUAAGCUCAGUCACUGUCAAAAGUACAGUAAGUCAUCAAUCGGGAUGGACUAAGUCCGAAUACCCAACAGUAACAUCACCACGCUCAUCACACGACGCGUGUUUCAUCUCAACAUAGCACCGCAUAAUGCAAAUACGGGGUUUCAAACCCUCAAUAUAUCAUUCAUAACCACUAAUCGCCUCAAACCGGCCAAAAUCCUAGCUCGCCUUGCGCUUUUCUCGCAUAUCGACCUCCUCGAGUGCAGAAUCCCCAAUCAAUUCCCGUUGAAACCCUCUUCAAUAUCCACCAUAAAGCUCCUAAGAUGGUCAAAAAUGGAGGAAGUUAUGAAUGAACUCGCGGAAUGAAUUAAAUGUUUAAACCCUUCUGCCAACAGUGGUUUCCGCUUUUGCGGUCCACGCACCGCAUUUGCGGUCACCGCAUAUGCGGUCUUCCGACCACUUCUGCAGUUUCUCGUUAAAUGUCUACCUUACGCUUGCGGCCACACUUCAGCUUCUGCAGAUUUCCCCUUUCCGCUACUGCGGCUUUCCUUCCGCUUCUGCAGACCCCCAGAAGUGAUGCCAAGCUCGCUUUUGCUCUAAACACACUGGUUCCUCAAAGCCUCUUUUGGGAUCGACUUCUGCGGUUUCUCAUUAAUGUUCGAGCCUCCGCCUAUGCGACUACAAACCCGCUUCUGCGGAAUCCCCCCUUCCGCUUCUGUAGCUUUCUUUCCGCUUCUGCUGACCCACAGGAGCGACACUAGUCCGCUUUUGCGAAAAUUCACUAGUCCCUAUGGGCCGCUUCUGCGAUCGACCCAGCCGCAUCUGCGGAACCGCAUUUGCAGCUCCUUUUCCGCAGAUGCGGAAAUACCAGAAGCCUGAUCUUAUUUUUCAUGCAACAACUCCAAAAACCUCCGUUCAACCACCCGAAUUCACCUCGAGGCCCCUGGGACCUCAACCAAAAGCACAAACCAGACCUAAUACUUCAUUAAAACUUGCUCGAAUUAUCAAAACGCUAACGUUAACAUCAAAAUCCUCAAUUUUGAUCAAAUCAAAGCCUAAAUUUCAUAAAAUAUUCCGAAUUGCAUAUUCGAUCAAAAAUCCGACCUAAAUGCCUCCAAAUGACCUGAUACGUUGCACGCAUAUCAAAAAUCACCUAAGGGAGCUGCUGAAACUCUCGGAAUCUCAUUCCGACCCUCGAAUCAAAAUCUUACCUAUAAAUCGGAAUCCGCCAAAAUUCAAACUUAGCCAAUUCAAGCCUAAUUCUACUCCGGGCCUCCAAAUUGAAUUUCGAUUUCACUCCUAAUUCACGAAUUAUCCCUCGAAGCUAAUCGAAUCGUCGAAAACCUAUUUCAAGCCCUAUAACUCAUAAGUCAACAUUCGAUUGACUUUUCCAACUAACAUUCUCAUAAAGAUACUAAUUGUUUCAUUUCUAACCAAACUCUAUCCGAAUUACUUCAAAUUCUCCCAACACAUAUAAAGAAACAUAUAUAAGCAUAAAACUGAGAAAACGUGGCAGUAACUCACAUGACGACGGGCCGGGUAGUCACAUCCUCCCCAACUAAAACAAAUGCUCGUCCUAGAGCAGGUCAAGAAACAUACCUAGAGUCUCAAGAAAACAAGGAUAUCUGCUCUGCAUCUCCUGCUCGGUCUCCCAAGUUGCCUCCUCCAUGGGCCGACCUCUCCACUACACCUUCACUGAAGCUAUGUCCUUUGAUCUCAACUUUCGAACCUGACGACCCAAAAUAGCCACUAGCUCCAUAUCAUAUGUGAAAUUCUCAUGAAACUGCACCGUGCAGAAGUUCAAAACAUGAGACAGAUCCCCAACAUACUUCCUAAGCAUUGAAACAUGGAAUACCAGAUGAACGCCCGACAAGUUGGGCGGCAAAGCAAGCAUAUAGGACACCUCUCCAAUCCUCCAAAGUACCUCAAAAGGCCCAAUGAAUUGUGGGCUAAACUUCCCUUUCUUUCCAAACCUCAUCAAAAGCUGGGUGGAAAAGCAAGCAUAUAGGCCACCUUCCCAAUCCUCCUAAGUAUCUCAAAAGGUACAAUGAACCGCGGACUCAGCUUCCAUUUUUUCCCAGACCUCAUAACACCUUUCAUACGUGAAACCUUCAAUAAAACCUUCUCACCCACCAUAUCAGAUAAAUCUCGAACAAUCCGGUCUACAUAACUCUUCUGACGCAACUGAGUUGUGCAAAGCCUCGACUGAAUAACUUUUACCUUCUCUAAGGCUUCCUGAACUAACUCCGUCCCCAAAAGUAUAGUCUCGCCGAGCUCAAACCAGCCAACCGGAGAUCUACACUGUCUCCCAUAUAAAGCCUCAUAUGGCAUCAUCUGAAUGCUGGACUGAUAGCUGUUGUUAUAAGAAAACUCUACAAGUGGCAAGAACUCAGCCCAAGAACCUCCAAAAUCAAUAACGCAGCCGCGCAACAUGUCCUCCAAUAUCUGGAUAGUACGCUCGGCCUGUCCGUCCGUCUGCGGAUGCUGUUGUUAUAAGAAAACUCUACAAGUGGCAAGAACUCAGCCCAAGAACCUCCAAAAUCAAUAACACAUGCAUGCAACAUGUCCUCCAGUAUCUGGAUAGUACGCUCAGACUGCCCGUCCGUCUUAGGAUGAAAAGUCGUGCUCAUUUAUACCUGUGCCCAACUCCUGAUGAAAGGUCCUCCAGAGCUGGGAAGUAAACUGAGUAACCCUAUCUGAGACAAUAGAAACUGGAACCCCAUGCAGCCCCACAAUCUCCCGGAUGAAAAUCCCCGCUAACCGCUCCAAAGAAUAGGUAGUACAUACCGGAAUGAAAUGCGCAGACUUGGUCAGCUUAUCCACAAUCACCCAAAUAGAAUCAAAGUUCUUCGAGGUACGAGGGAGACCGCUCACAAAGUCCGUAGUAAUCCUCUCCUAUUUCCACUCCGAAAUAUCCAUCUGCUUAAGUACACCAUCGGGUCUCUGAUGUUCAUACUUGACCUGCUGACAAUUGAGACACCGAGCCACAUAACUCACAANNNNNNNNNNNNNNNNNNNNNNNNNNNNNNNNNNNNNNNNNNNNNNNNNNNNNNNNNNNNNNNNNNNNNNAGACACAUAACUCACAACAUCCUUUUUCAUUCUCCUCUACCAGUAAUGUUUUCACGGUACCCGGAUGAAUGGAAUACCGUGAGCUAUGGGCCUCCUCUAAUAUCAACUCUCGGAGCCCAUCCACAUUGGGCACACAAAUCUGACCCUGCAUCCGCUACACACCAUUAUCAUCAAUAGUCACAUCUCUAGCAUCAUCAUGCUGGACUCCGUUCUUCAGGACAAGCAAAUGUGGGUCAUCAUACUGGUUCUCCCUAAUGUGAUCAUACAAAGAAGACUGGAAAACCGCACAAACCAACACCCGACUGGGCUCAGAAAUACCUAACCUCACCAUCCGAUUAGCCAAGGCCUGAACAUCAACUGGAAAGGGCCUCUCCCCAACUGGAAUGUACGCCAAGCUACUCAUACUGACCGCCUUUCAACUUAAAGCAUUGGCCGCUACAUUGGACUUCCCCGGAUGAUACAAAAUCGUAAUAUCAUAAUCUUUGAGUAACGCAAUCCAUCUCCGCUUUCUCAAAUUUGGAUCCUUCUGCUUAAACAAGUGUUGAAGACUGCGUUGGUGCAUGAAUACCUAACAGGAUAUGCCAAAUAGAUAUUGCCUCCAAAUCUUCAAAGCAUGAACUAUGGCAGCCAACUCCAAGUCAUGAAUAUGGUAGUUCUUCUCAUGGGGAUUUGGCUGAAGCGAAGCAUACACAAUAUCUCUAUCCUCCUGCAUCAAUACACAUCCAAUCCAAUUCUCGAAGCAUCAACAAUACACCGAGUAAGAGCCUGAAGCUGAUGACAAUACUAGUACCGGAGUUGUAGUCAAAGCUGACUUGAGCUUUUGGAAGCUCUCCUCGCACUCAUCCGACCACGCAAAUGGAGCACUCUUCUGCGUCAACUUCGUCAAAGGCGAAGCAAUAGAUGAAAAACCUUUAACGAACCUGUUGUAAUAACCUUCCAGACCGAGGAAACUCCGAAUCUCAGUAGCUGAGGACAGCCUACGCCAACUCCGCACCGCCUCACUCUUCUUUGGGUCAACCUGUUUACCAUCACUGGACACUACGUGUCCCAGAAAAGCCACGGAACUGAGCCUGAAUUCGCACUAUGAGAACUUUGCAUAAAGCUUCUCCUCUCUCAACCUCUGAAAUACCACCCUAAAGUAUUGCGCGUGCUCAUCUUGGCUACGCGAGUACACCAGAAUAUCAUCAAAUAAACACGAUCAUAAAAGAAUCCAGAUACGGUUGAAAUACAAUGCUCAUCAAGUGCAUGAAUGCGGCUGGGCAUUAGUCAGCCCAAAUGACAUAACCAGAAACUCAUAAUGCCCAUAUCUCGUCCUGAAAGUUGUCUCAUGAUGUCAGAAUCCCUAAUCUUCAGCUGGUGAUAGUCUGAAUGGAGAUCAAUCUUAGAGAAUGCCUUUGCCCCCUGAAGCUGGUCAAAAAAAUCCUCAAUACGUGGUAGUGGAUACUUGUUCUUCACUAUCACUUUGUUCAUCUGUCUGUAAUAAAUGCACAUUCUCAUUUUUCCAUCCUUCUUCUUUACAAAUAAUACUGGUGCGCCCCACGACGACACACUCGGGCAAAUAAACCCCUUAUCUAGGAGUUCCUGCAGCUACUCCUUCAACUCUUUUAGCUCUGUUGGUGUCAUACGAUAGGGAGGAAUAGAGAUGGGCUGAGUUCCCGGCAUCAAAUCAAUACCGAAGUCAAUAUACCUAUCCGGUGGCAUGCCCGGCAGGUCUGCCGGAAAUACAUCAGGAAAUUCCCUCACUACGGGAACCGAAUCAAGACUAGGAGCCUCAGCUCCAACAUCCCUCGCAAAUGCUAGAUAUGAUAAACAUCCUUUCCCAACCAUCCACUAGGCCUUUAAGAAACACAUUACCUUGCUGGGUACAUAAUCAGUCGUACCACGCCACUCAAUCCUCGGAAUACCCAGCAUAGCCAUUGUGACUAUCUUAGCGUGACAAUCUAGAAUAGCAUGGCACAGUGACAGCCAAUCCAUGCCCAAAAUAACAUCAAAAUCCACCAUUCUCAAUAGUAGCAAGUCAACUGGGGUCUCCAAACCCCCAAUAGUAACAAGACAUGACCGAUACACGUGGUCCACAAUAAUAGUAUCGCCUACCGGGGUAGAUACGUGCACAGGUAAUGCAAGACACCCUUGGGUAGUACCCAAAUGAUGAGCAAAGUUAGAAGAUACAUAGGAAUAAGUGGAUCCAGGAUCAAAUAAGACUGAGGCAUCCUUGUGGCAGACUGAAAUAAUACAUGUGAUAAUAGCAUCCGAAGCAACAACAUCUGACCUGCCUUGAAGAGCGUAGCAAUGAGCCUGACCACCACCGGAUUGGCCUCCCCCUCUGGGGCGACCCCUAAAUGUGUGACCCCUACCCCUAGCUGACUGGGCGGGUGCUGACGACACUGGGCCAGAAGAUGAGGGUUGGCCCCUCUACUGAGAUGAACUGGAUGCACGACGAGGACACUCCCUAUGUAUAUGCCCAAACUCACCACACUCAUAACAACUCCCUGGCGAUGGGGGCUGGGACUGAAGGGAACCCCUCGCACUAGGGUGGCUGGCUGAAGAACUCGGCCGGGAUGAACCCUGAACAGAUGGGGCAUGAAACGAACUCUGCACUGAAAGUGCACUCAGAGAUGGUUGACCCUGCUGGGAGCUCUGAUAACCCCGAUCAAAAGAUGACCCACGGUACUCUAAGCAAGGUGGUUGUGGAGGCCUGAAAGAACGACCCCUGAUCUGCUGAAACUGGCCCCUAGACGGAGCACCACUAGAUCUACCUGAUCCUCGAGGCCUCUUGACUUCCCUCUCCUUUCUCUCCUGACGAGAGUCGUCUCAAUAUCACGAGCUAUAUCUGGUACCUCCUCAAAGGUAUGGCUCAAGACCCUCUCUCGAGUCAUCAGAAUACGGAUGGGAUAAAUGAGUCCAUCCACAAAUUGUCUGAUCCUCUCCUAAUCCGUCGGAACCAAUCACGGAUUAUAACGAGUUAACUCUGAGAAUCUUGCCUCAUACUGUGUCACAUAUAUACCCCCCUAACAUAGCCAUUCAAACUGCUUGCGCAACUCCUCUCUCUACGACUGUGGUACCCAUUUCUCCAGAAAGAUAGUGGAGAACUCCUACCAAGACAACGGCGCUGCACCUACCAGCCUACGCUGCUCAUAUGCCUCCCACCAUGUAAAGGCUUCUCUUGAGAACUGAAAAGUGGUAAAAGAUACCCCACUCGUCUCUAAGAUCCCUGUUGUCAGAAGCAUGCGUUGACACUUGUUGAGAAACCCCUGGGCAUCCUCGCCCGGAAUACCACUGAAAGUAGGAGGUGAAAGCCUGCUGAACCUCUCAAUACGACACUGCUCGUCAUCUGGCACUGGCACCCCAUCACCUAGAACCGGAACAACUGGCUGAACUGGGGCAACUAGUUGAACUAGUGGUGCCUCCGGUGCCUGUAAACCUGGUACACCCUACUCUAGAGUGCGAGUUGAGGGGGUCUGAUGACCACCCCCGCUCUUAGAUGUAGCUGCGGCAAUAGUGGCCGAGACUGCCUGAGCCAGGCCAAUGCAAACCGAUAAAAUCUAAGCCAGGGCCUCCUGAAGACCCAGAAUCACAAUAGGCACAGCUGGUGCCUGGGCAGGUGCUGCUGGAACCUCUACAACUAGAGGAGGAUCCUUGUCGACGCCCCUUUUUUUGACUACUAAAAAAGAAGCGAAAUCGGGUUUACGACAUUAUGGACAAAAACAACUCUUAUUCCCAGAGUCAUAGUCAGAGAAUGGCAAUUACAUGUCGAUGCCCCCUUUUUCGACUACUAAAAGAAGAAGCAAAAUCGGGUUUACGACAUUAUGGAAAAAACAACUCUUAUUCCCAUUUGGGAAUUGGGUAUUGGAAGUUGAAGAGUCACCACCUAAUGAUUAUAGUGCAUUAGGACACUUUUUAAGAAGAGAGAGUAUUUUGAAAGAAAACCACAGUUCGGGUAAGGGCUUGAAAUUAUCUCGAGGGGAAGGUGUUAGGCACCUUUCAAGAUCCACUAGUACGGUUCUUGGCCUUACUUAGAUGUGACUUUAAGAAGCAUAGAAAUAGACAAGCAAAUGUGCAUAUAAAGAAUACAAAACUAAUGAUCAAUUUUGAAAGAAGAAUAGUAUAAGUAAAAGGAAAAUUUUAGAGAAAGUACUUAGACGAAAAGUAAAGGUAAAGGGGGUCCUAGGUUUAACUAUAAUAUGGAUAAUUCGACAUAAUUUAAAUAAAGCGAAAGGGGGAAUUAAUUUGAAAAAAGCAUUACAUUAGGAAAAUGUUAAAUAAAGCAAGCAAAAGAGAAAGAGGUCCUAAGUUUGACUAUAAUAUGGAUCAUUCGAUACAAUAUCUCGCACAUAUUCCCAAAGAGGGGUCGCUUCAUGAUAUUAUCGCAUCAUCAUUGACUAUAAUAUGGAUCAUUCGAUACAAUAUCCAGCACAUAUUCCCAAAGAGGGGUCGCUUUAUGAUAUUAUCACGUCGUUCCCACCCCGUUAAGGUACUUAACCACGUUUGGUCUCGUUUACUUAUUGCAUGCUAGUACCCGUCCCAACCUAUCAAUCCCGGGGUAUUAGGACUUCUAAACUUAUGAGGGGAGAGAAAGAUAGGGCAUAUAUGGAGUUUUCAAAGGAAAAAUACUAAGUGUCAAUCAAAACAAAUAGCAUAUAAAGGUACGCAAAUAAGAAAUUCAAAGGCUCAUAUAAACCUCGUAAACCAUAACAGCAAUUAGGCUAGCAUGCCUUGCAAAUACUGGUUUGGUCUUAAUAUUAAAGCUGAUCGCAAAUGGAUUAGUUAAACACAUAAAACUGGAUAGAAAAUCUGCUUCGAGCUCCCCGGGCAUGUUAUAAGAAACUGUUAUACUCAGGAGGGCAUGGGAGUUUUAAAAGGCAGUAGGAGAAAUAAGAGACUUGAAAAGCAGCAGACAAUUUAAGUAAAAUGCGCAAGAAAGUUUCAGAAAGACAGGAAGAUUUGAGAAGAAAAUCAAGUUGCACGACUAUAACGAAAACUGAAUAUAUGUCGAGGCUGAGUGGUUUUAUGCAGAAAACAGAAGCAUUUGGGUAGGCAGAUUAUUUAAAAAGACUGUUUCAUAGAAAAUGCUUUGGGCAGAACAUUAUUUUAUAUUGUUUUGAAGAAUGAAAAUCAUUUGGGCAGAAUUUAUUUUGAAAGGCGACCAAAAAUAGACUUGAGACGUUAACAGGCAUGCAUAGAUGAAAGUUUGCGAAGACGUUAUUUUUUCUAGAAGGACCUUAAAGCUCAGAGGACUGACUAUUAUUGAUUAAGCGAAUAGAGCGAGUUUGACGGCUAAUCCUAUAGGCAUGAUGUCUAUGCUUCUGAUUUUAAAAGUUGUUAAGGAAUUAAUGAAUAAUUGAGCAUUUAACCUUACAGCUUGCCUAUCGCGUGCAAGUCCUAUAGGCAGGAUUUCUAUAUGCAUUUGAUUACAAAAAGUAUGCAAGUCCUAUGGGUAGGAUUUCUAUAUGCAUUUGAUUACAAAAUAUGCAAGUCCUAUAGGCAGGAUUUCUAUAUGCAUUUGAUCACAAAAUACGCAAGUCUCAUAGGCAGGAUUUCUAUAUGCAUUUGAUUACAAAAUAUGCAAGUCCUAUAGGUAGUAUUUCUAUAUGAAUUUGAUUACAAAAUAUGCAAGUCCUAUAGGCAUGCUUUCUAAGUGGUUAAGCAUAGAAUCCUAUAAACAUGGGUUUUAACCUUUGACAUGUGUGGAAAUAGUAAAGCCCUUCCCACACCCUUUCACUAAUAUCCCCCAGGUCUUUCACACAAUUAUUACAAAAACUUGAAAGAAAGGACAAAAAAUAAGAUAGCUACAUCAGUAUCAGAACUACAACAGGCCCAGGGAGUUUUGAAGCAACCUUAAUGUCCAACCCAUGCAUUUUAUCAAAUCCAGAUUUCAGAUUCCAAGGCCUUCUUAUAUUCAAGGUGCUUUCAGAGUUCCAAGGAAUCUCCGGGAUUCCCGGCAGUGCUUAACACCCUGAAUAGCUUAGAGUAACAGAAUAGUGCAGUGUGGAAGUACGAGCCCUAAGGCAUCCGAGAUUAGAGGAAGCUCAAGGGUGCCAAGGCAUGGCUUACAAAAGUGGUUGGGCAGAGCUUAAGAGACUAAGCAUGAGUGUAAAGGUGAAGGAUUAGAAGAUAACCAAUGCAAAGGUGGUCAUACCUAGCCAUGAAAGGGACUGGCACACCCCUGGCCCUUUACAUGGUUUAACAAGUAAGAGAAAACUUGAAAUAAUUAGGCCUGUAUGAUGAUUAGGGUACCAACAGACCUGAUUCGAAGCUCAACACAUAAUAGGGGGUUAAGGAAGUGGGAUUACUUUGAGUAUAUGUUAAGAACAACCUUGUUCUAAACUGGAGGUGGCAAUAGGGUACCACUCUAGUCCAAAACAACAUUCACAUACAAAAAGGGGUCGGGGAAAGGGAUUAAAUAUGAAAACAUUUACAUAAAACAUAACAUAAUUAAUCAGAAAGGGGUUUGGGAAAGGGAUGUGCAGGAAGAUACUUAUAACAAACAUAGCAGAAUUAAACAAAUGGGAAUGUGGGGCAGGGGUAACAUGCUGAAGUAUAAACAGAUAUAUGAAAAGCAUAAGUUAACACAUAGUUUGGAGGUGGUAUUUAAAUCUUGGAACUUACCAGUUGCAAGUUUCAAACAGCAGUACAAACAGAAGAAGCAGGAUCUUAUGGUUAGCCUUGGCUUUCAGACGGCUAACACAAGCAGCACACUUAGUAACAGAGAAGAGCAGAGAAGAAAAGAGAGAGUGUAUAGUAUGAACUUGUGAAAAUUGUUCGUGGUUGUGUGUGUCGUUCCAAGAGAAGGAGUAGGAUAUUUAUAGUUUGAAAACAAAUGGUAAGUAAGGCAAAAUAUAAUUCAAUACCAAUCAGAAUCAAUUAGAAGAGGGGAGUUCCUUUAAUUAAGGAAUUCAAAUUUGAAUAGGAGAGGGCAUAAUUAUAUUAAAGGAAAGAAAAUCAGUAACACAUGGCGCAAUAAAGGGCAAAUAUAUAGGAGAAGCUUUCAAAAAUACACGGCUAGAUAAAUAAGGUAAAGGUAAAAUCAAUUAAUCACGUAGUAAAUCAAGAAUCAGG